CAGACGCGCCCUGGCGGCCCGCGCGGCUGCGAGCUGAAGAGCGCAGUUCCAACCCUCCUUUGAAGCGUUUGCGCACAGCCAGUUGAGUUUCAUUUUCAGGUUAAUAACAAAAGGCGACGCAUCUGGACUUUCCCCGGAGCCCUCUGCGUUUUUAAAGCGUCGGGUGGAAUUAGGGGUCCUUUGGCUGUAAACCGCGCUUAUUUGAUGAAAAUAGAAAUCAGUCCUGCUCCCCUCAGCGGACAGUUCGUUACCUACCAGGAGUGUCUCCGACUGUGGGCAUCCCCUCCCUGGGUUGUUCUUUAAGCCACAAAAAGCUGCACCCAAGCUUGUUUGAC
rnacentral:lncRNA from 1 species